rnacentral:rRNA from 1 species
GCGGACGGGUGAGUAAUGCUUGGGAAUCUGGCUUAUGGAGGGGGAUAACUACGGGAAACUGUAGCUAAUACCGCGUAGUAUCGAGAGAUGAAAGUGUGGGACCGCAAGGCCACAUGCCAUAAGAUGAGCCCAAGUGGGAUUAGGUAGUUGGUGGGGUAAAGGCCUACCAAGCCGACGAUCUCUAGCUGGUCUGAGAGGAUGACCAGCCACACUGGAACUGAGACACGGUCCAGACUCCUACGGGAGGCAGCAGUGGGGAAUAUUGCGCAAUGGGGGGAACCCUGACGCAGCCAUGCCGCGUGAAUGAAGAAGGCCUUCGGGUUGUAAAGUUCUUUCGGUGAUGAGGAAGGUGUUUGUUUUAAUAGAGCAAGCAAUUGACGUUAGUCACAGAAGAAGCACCGGCUAACUCCGUGCCAGCAGCCGCGGUAAUACGGAGGGUGCGAGCGUUAAUCGGAAUAACUGGGCGUAAAGGGCACGCAGGCGGUGACUUAAGUGAGAUGUGAAAUCCCCGAGCUUAACUUGGGAACUGCAUUUCAGGCUGGGUUGCUAGAGUAUUUUAGGGAGGGGUAGAAUUC